AUUGUAUUUGGUGAGAGAGAGUGAAGGUGGUGUUUGAUACGUGGUAUGAGGAAACUUAGUCAACUUGCGUGUAUUAAAUGAUGAAUUUGACUCAAAUUGAGUUCUUCACUUUGAGCAAUGCCUUCUCUCUACCCUCUACCUUGUUUUCGUCGUUGUAUGUUUGAUUUGGAAGUGUUUUAACAUUCCCGACGCAGAGAGCUUCAAAAUGGACCGAACAAUUCUUUGUUUCAGCGGGGCACUGCUUAGAUUCUUCUCCGGGAAGGACACUGUAGAAUCAAGUUGUGAGCUUAACUGUUCAACACUCCAGAUGUCGCAGAGAUGCCCCUGGAACAAGCAUUGAAGCAAUAUGACGCUGCAACUUGGCCUCCUUAGGACUUUCAUUUACUUUAGUGUCAUUUUGAAAACUUUAAUAUAUAGAAGUUUUAAAUUUUAGUGUCCUUAGGAAGAUGACUGUAAUCCUAAUUACUGACGUCUUUAUAAAUAUAUACUGCUAUAUAUUUGGGAUGCCACAUAUAUUACA